rnacentral:rRNA from 1 species
GAUGAACGCUGGCGGCGUGCCUAAUACAUGCAAGUCGAGCGGUAAGGCCACUUCGGUGGUACACGAGCGGCGGACGGCAGAGUAACGCGUAGGAAUAUACAUUGAAGUGAGGAAUAACUGCCCGAAAGGGUGGCUAAUACCGAAUAUGGUCUUCGGAUCAAAGCUUUUUAGCGCUUUGAGAAUAGCCUGCGUUCGAUUAGCUAGUUGGUAGGGUAAUAGCCUACCAAGGCGACGAUCGAUAGCGGGUCUGAGAGGAUGAUCAGCCACACUGGAACGGCGACACGGUCCAGAGUCCUACGGGAGGCAGCAGUGGGGAAUAUUGGGCAAUGGGCGCAAGCCUGAUCCAGCCAUACCGCGUGGGUGAAGAAGGCCUUCGGGUUGUAAAGCCCUUUUGUUGGGAAAGAAAUCCAGCUGGCUAAUACCCGGUUGGGAUGACGGUACCCAAAGAAUAAGCACCGGCUAACUUCGUGCCAGCCGCCGCCGUAA